rnacentral:misc_RNA from 1 species
UGCAUGUAAAGCACGAAUUUUCAUGUUAUAGCAGGAAUUUAUGGCAAGCGCAAUUUCCUUGUUUUUUAAAUCCUGCGAGGGGAGACGUGAUAAAAUGUUGCUCAAAACAAGCGGCUCUCUAUAGUGUAUAUGCUAGCCGUUGGAGAAGCAACAUCGAGGAGCUCUCAAGAAAAUAUCAAGCUAUAAUACUUGUGACGUAAAGAAAUUUCCGAAAAUGAUGCUCAAGACACUCAUCGCUAUCUCAGUAAUCAGUUUUACUGCCGCAGCAUCCUUCAAUGAGGAGAACUCUUGGUUAACCAAUCAAGAAAAUGAUGAUGUGAUUUUCACGAGAGAUAAAAAAGGGUCUGGCAAUUGCUGUAGACGUACAGGUUAUAACUUUGUAACAUACGAUAAAGCAGGUGGUUCACGAAAAGGGGAAUGCAUGAAAUAUUUAGAUGAAAUUAAAUCUGCUUCAUGCCGAAAAACAAUCGACAAAAUUCUUAACAAGCAUGGCGGAAGCUCCAUAUGCCGUGUCGGUAACAGUAAAGUGGUUUUAUUGGAGGGAAAAAUUUACAAGACCAUGAACACUCUAUCGGAAUGUCCGCAUUACGGAUAAAUUUUAUUAAUUUGUAUGUGAGGAAUGAAGACUAAUUCAUUGAGUCGCUGGAUUCCUUUUACGCUAAAUAUUUACUGAACUGUUACUAAUAUAGCUUAAUUACCAGCCAUUGUGAUAUCUACAUAUAUAUGCAUGCUGUCAAACAUUUCAAUAUAUAUUUGUGUGUUCUUUGAUAAAAACAAGCAGGAUUGUACUUUGUAGUAUUGAGGGUCGAAACUAGUUGCGAUCAUUGAGAGAAUGAAGGUAUAUUCAUAUAUUCGUUCUGCCCGACAGAUUGUUUUGUGCGAUCAUCGCGCUAAUUCCAGAUCUGGUUCGUAUAUAACCUUGUUAUAUUCAUGGGGAAAUAAAUAAUUUUGACAU